GUCGAGCGGUAACAGGGGAGCUUGCUCCUGCUGACGAGCGGCGGACGGGUGAGUAACGCGUGGGAAUCUGCCCAUUGGUGGGGGAUAGCCCGGAGAAAUUCGGAUUAAUACCGCAUAAUACCUGAGGGUUAAAACGGGGGAUCAUUAGACCUCGUGCCAAUGGAUGAGCCCGCGUCAGAUUAGCUAGUUGGUAAGGUAAAGGCUUACCAAGGCGACGAUCUGUAGCUGGCCUGAGAGGGUGGUCAGUCACACUGGAACUGAGACACGGUCCAGACUCCUACGGGAGGCAGCAGUGGGGAAUAUUGGGCAAUGGGCGCAAGCCUGACCCAGCCAUGCCGCGUGUGUGAAGAAGGCUUUCGGGUUGUAAAGCACUUUAAGUUGGGAGGAAGGCUGCUUAGUUAAUACCUAAGUAGAUUGACGUUACCAACAGAAUAAGCACCGGCUAAUUCCGUGCCAGCAGCCGCGGUAAUACGGAAGGUGCGAGCGUUAAUCGGAAUUACUGGGCGUAAAGCGCACGCAGGCGGUUAUAUAAGCUAGAUGUGAAAGCCCCGGGCUCAACCUGGGAAUAGCAUUUAGAACUGUAUGACUAGAGUCUUGGAGAGGGGGGUGGAAUUCCAGGUGUAG
rnacentral:rRNA from 1 species